rnacentral:rRNA from 1 species
CAGUAGCCACGGUAAUACGAAGGGGGCUAGCGUUGUUCGGAUUUACUGGGCGUAAAGCGCACGUAGGCGGACUUUUAAGUCAGGGGUGAAAUCCCGGGGCUCAACCCCGGAACUGCCUUUGAUACUGGAAGUCUUGAGUAUGGUAGAGGUGAGUGGAAUUCCGAGUGUAGAGGUGAAAUUCGUAGAUAUUCGGAGGAACACCAGUGGCGAAGGCGGCUCACUGGACCAUUACUGACGCUGAGGUGCGAAAGCGUGGGGAGCAAACAGGAUUAGAUACCCGGGUAGUCCCUGUCUCUUAUAC